UGUAAUAGGUACACAUUUUAUUAAAUUAUUCAUUAAAUUGAUUUGUGUUUAAUUAAAAACAAAAUGUUGAGCAUUCCAUCGCAAAUACAGACAAGAAAUAUACUUUUGAAAGGAGUUCCUGUGGAACAUAAUCCACUAAGUGUUGUUGGCUUGUGACACAACGGUGACUUCGAGAAGUCAUACUAGAUUCCAUGCGAGUGAGUGAGCUCACGGGGCUCUAACCUGACGACGUUGCUAACACUAGCCUUAGCAAGAGCAGUGCUUCGUAAAAUCCACUACCGGAUCGGAAUCACGAUCCACUGAGAAGACCGGCAAGAAACUGUGGGCUGUGUUUCUGGGUUAAUUUGCAAUGACGACGACCAGUGCUUGAGGUACCUAAAAGCACCGUUAGGGGAUCGGGAGGAUCUGUAAUGACGUGUUUUGGGUUUCGUCGACUGUUACCAUUCGGUCCGCAGGAUUGGGUUUGUAGUUACUGGAGGCCACGAUAAGAGGGUUCUCGUGUCGUGCCGCUUUCUCGAAAUGGGAAUAACUUCGCUCCUCAAUUGGAACAGGAGGUCCAAAAAUUUCUUGCUUCGCAUUCGAAUACUGACUAUCCUGUUAAUUUAACCUCACACAAUAUGAGAUGAAGCGUAUUGGCUGAAGAUCUUUUUAAAAACUUUUGCGAAUUAUUAAAAAUAUAUACAUACCUAGUCCCGCCAUAAGUUCUGCUACAAAUAAUAACGCAUUUUUUUUUAAUUUAGUAAUUUAAUAUUAUUAAAAUAUAUACCUAUAUGUUUAUUAGUUUCAGCAAAAAAAAAUCGGUUCGAAAUGGCCACCUUUGGCUUCUAUACAGGCCUUUAAUCACGAAUCUAUGGACUUACGCACUGUUUCCAAGGGAAAUUCGUAAAUUUGCGUAAUUACUGAUAGAGCAUAGGUGCUUGCUUCGCAUUAUUUCUGACCGGAAACAGCCGUGCCUCCCACAUUGAACGCCGAGGCACCGGAAAUACAAAACAAUUUUGACUUAAUCUAUCAGUUUUUUAUCUCUCAGGCAUUCACCUUGAUUUAUAAACUAGGUGAGCUACCGAGCUAAUGCAAACAUUAAGUGAAAUGUAAUUUUUUGUUAGGAGUUAAAACGCUGUAACUGUAAUUAAAGAAACGACAAAACUAUUUUAAUUUGCUUAUAGUGCUUACUGCUUGUAAUAUCGAACGUUCAAUUACGUGAUAAUGUGUAAUUAAACUUUAUACAUGGACCUGAUUAA